CUUUUCUCUCUUGAGUCUUGACGUGAACGACUAGAUAGAAUUCGCAGACAAGAUUUGAUUUCAAACCUUAAGGAUAAAUCGUGAUCGUGGAGGAAUUAUUCUGAGAAGAAUGUUGUGAAUUCGUUUGAAAAUUAAUGAGUGACCCUUUAUCGGUGAAGGUGAAUCAAACCAUAAAACUGUAACAAUGGCGUAAAAAGGGCGUGAAAAGUUCAUCAUGGCGAUGAAGACUGUUUGGAUCACAGUGGUGUGUUUAUUUGUUAUUUCACAGGCAGAUCAAGGUUUCGAUGUUCGUCAUCACUUAUCCACUGUCACCAGAUACUCUGUUUCGAAAGAUGUUGCCCAAAAUUUGAUUGAGCCAUCGAAUUUCUCCAGUGAGUUUA